rnacentral:rRNA from 1 species
UACGGAUGGGGCAAGCGUUGUUCGGAAUCACUGGGCUUAAAGCGUGCGUAGGCGGACUUGCAAGUCAGAAGUGAAAUCCCCGGGCUUAACCCGGGAAUUGCUUUCGAAACUGCAAGUCUAGAAUCUUGAAGAGGUUAGCAGAAUUCCGAGUGUAGAGGUGAAAUUCGCAGAUAUUCGGAGGAAUACCAAUGGCGUAGGCAGCUAACUGGCCAAGUAUUGACGCUGAGGCACGAAAGCGUGGGGAGCAAACAGG